CCUGCUUCCCCUUCUGCCAUGAUUGUAAGUUUCCUGAAGCUUCCCCAGACAUGUGGAACUGCCCAUCCGUGGCUGCCCAUGGACCAAUCAGCAUGCGCUUCCUCUCUUCUGAGCUCAUGAAAACCCUGGACUCAGCCAGACUUGCACACUCGUCAGGACAACAUCCCUGCAGAAAGGAGCUACUUGCCAUGUUUCUCCUCUCCUCUGUGAGCUGGAACCCCAUCAGGACAACUUGCCUAUGGAAAGGAGCUACCCACUUUGGGUCUCCUGAAAGCUGUUUUGUCACUCAGUGAAGCUCCUCUGCCUUCCUCACCCUCAAAUUGUCCAUGUAUCUCGUUCUUCCUAGAUGCAGGAAAAGAACUGGGACCUGCUGAAUGGUGAGAAUGAAAGAGCUGUAACACAAACAGGGCUGAAAUAUGCCCCCUGCUCACCACAUUGUGAGUGAUGAGGAGAAAAGAGCUGCAGCCCUUCUGGGAAUGCAGACAUCAGGUCUCCCUGAACUAGGGCUGUGGCACUCUCUUUGGGGCUCUGCUUUUGGGCACCAUCGCAUUCCCCUUGUCUAGAUGCUGGUGCCCACAGCCAAAGCUGCUUUUAAUAUGCCUGGUCUAGCUUCAGUCUUCCAUGGAGCUGGUGCCUGUGCCAGUGCCUGGAACCGCCCACCCCUCUGCCACAGCUGGAGCACCUGGCUGUGUGCAGUGGCUGGACCCUGCACUCACUUGCUCACACAUCCCUCACUGCUCCAUGCCUGGCUUGCCCAUGGCAGUUAGGGGAUGCGGCUGGUAGCACAAGCCGAGCAGGGGCUGCUGGGCUGAGUGGGUGGAAUGAGCCCAGCGAGCACAAGCAAAACCUAAGCAGAGGCACCACCAGCCACAGAGGUUUCUGGCUGGCAAAUUGACACCCUAGGAAUCCCAUGACAGCCUGGGCUCCCUGGUUGCCCACUGCAUUCUGGGAGAGCUUAAGGAUCCACUGUCUUUAACAUCAAGUUUUCUAACCUAUAUCUGUUGAGACUUUUUAAGUUACAUCAUUUCAGAAACAUUAACCAUUUUUCCGUCAGAAUCAAAGCCUGAAUUCCAAAUCUUUUGGUACCAGUAGCAUAUUUUUACAGUAAUUUUCAUUUUUCAACCCUGGCCGUUCUGAUUUUGUAGUGUACCAGCCCCUACUCUGGCAUGAGAUGGAAAGGCUAGGGAAACUAGGGGUUCAAACAUUGCAUUUUCAGCUGUUUGAGAUAAUAUAAGCUUUGUGUUAUGAUUCUGCAGGAAAAUAAAUAAGUAGAUAAAUAAAUAGCACCAAAAAAUAACCAUUAAAUGUCUCUGAGGGGCAGACUAAUGAUAAGCCAUAAAUUAGGGCAUAAAUACAUUGAUCAGCUGGCUACUAGCAAACCACCAGAACUCUGCCGCUAUCUGGAAUGAUAACCUGUGGGAUACAGUCAACUUUCUGCCAGAGCUCCAUUUGAGCUUGAGCCUGUCAUACUCAGCUGAUGCCCAAGUGACCCCUUCUCUCAUCUUUCAUUCAUUUUUCAUGCUUACAUUUUCAUACUACCCUGCUUUGUUCCCUUGCCACCUCUUACUUCCCUCCAGAGGUUUACAGCCAUAAGUCAAUGGCAAAAAAAAAAAAAAAAAAAAAAAAAAAUGCCUUACAAUACAGUGCCUCAGUGUAAGAUUUAGAAAAAGCUAGAAAGAUGACAAGUUGAAAAGAUGUUCUCACCCUUGUAAUGGGCUGACUCCUGAAUCUGUGUUACCUUCUUGUACAAUUCACUGACCUAUUUUUCAUUUGUUUCUUAACUUGGUUUUAACUUUGGCCUAUUAUUCUAAAGUUGGCUUCCAGAAUCCAAUCUCUAUUCUAGUUAUUCAUUCUUUACUCAAAUAUAGUUUUAAGGCCCAGUCUUUGCCUAGCACACAAUUGAAAUGUUGACCAUAAUACCCCCUUGAUAUCUUUCUCAUGCUUUAUUCUCUGUGAAGAAUAGCAGCGUGCACCUUUGUUUAUUCCUCAUGAAUAAAAAUAUCAAUAAGAAUAUAUGAGUGAGAGCAUAGUAUGUAUUUUAUAACACAUUGAUUUGUCCUGUGACCCUAGGCAAUAUAUAUUUUAUUAAAAUUAUACAACAAUGAAUUCAUCCUGUUCUUCAAUAAUUUAUCUGAGUAAAUUCUUUACAAUGGGAUUUUUUAACACGGAAUGUCACAGAUAAAGCCUGGAUCGUCUCAUCAGAAAUUUUUUACAAAUUAUUAAAUGAACUGGCUAUUACUUGGACUCACGGUUUCUAACCUUCAGUCUCACUUGGACUUCUAAGGAUGCAACUAACUCCUUCAAACUAGUGAGAUACAGAAAAUGUAGCUGCAAUACUAUAGUACAACAUUAACACUCCCAUGCACAAAACUGAAAGGGAUCAUAUAAUACUGGUGUGUCUACGCUGAGAUGACAUAUUGCACGCUAACAAACAUUGCAAAAUCCAGCACAUCAAGAAAAUGAAAAAUUGUUGAAUAGCAGGUGAUUGGAAUGUUAGAUGCCAAUGAGAUCCAGGUAUUUUGCUAACUGUUCUAAACACAUUUCUUCUGUGAAGAGGAAGCAAUACAAUGGUGAUUGCUUCUCUUCUGUGCCUGCCUUGUAUCACACUUUCAAAAGAAAACAGUCUUUUUAACCAUAAUUUAC
rnacentral:lncRNA from 1 species